rnacentral:tRNA from 1 species
AAAAAGUUAAUUUAAUUUAAAAUAUUAGUUUGUCAAACUAAAAAUAUCUUUUAGAUACUUUUUA